AAGUCACGGGCAAAAGAGAUACAUCAUCCAUGUUUACACUUACAACUACGACAACAACGGCUCCCCCUAGAUCUCCACUUCACCUUCAGCACCCAGCCAUACAGUGGGAACUCACACACACUGCGAUCAGAUAAAGACCAGUUCAAGUAAUAGAUGCAGCCCAUCUAUUACAACUUCAUCGACGUUGGGCGCAAUCACCUGUAGUGACCAUCUCGGAAAGAAAGGAGGGAAAACCGGCUGUCGGGAAAAUAUACGGAAGAAUCAUUCUGGCACCACCUCAUAGAGACGGGCGCUGGGCACUGACGAAGGAGGAGUACGCUGCUAAUGAUUUCCCGCCGUAUGCCACAGGGGCCGCUUACAUCAUCGAUAACGUAGCGCUCAAGAAGCUCUGGGAUCAUGUUUCUCUUGCUCCCUUUCUGUGGAUAGAAGACGUGUUCCUCACCGGGUUGGUGGCACGAGUAGCUGAGCUUAAACAUGAGUGGCUAAAUCACCUUUACCUGGAGAAAAAAAUAUCCGACUCUUGGUAUAAAGGAAAUGGAAUUUUCUUGUAUGAAGCCUCGCCAUGGGAUGUACAGAGGGCGUGGGAUCUCAUCAGUAAAUGAACAUGGCCAGAUGCAACAAGCCCCAAGAAAAAACGAAAAUACGUUCGUAAAAGUAUUCUUUGUGAAAGGUCACACACACGAACUGAGAAACAAAAUAACUAACAAACUCAAUCAUACAAACACAAACAAAUAAACGACACACUUGCAUGUUGUGACCUUUUAUUUAUGAACGUUUUUGUGACUAACCUUUAUGUGACAGCAACUGGUUAGUAACUUUGCCCUAUUUUACUUGAACCUCUUAAGCCUUAUCGGCUCUUCUUGUGAUCUUGAUCUUUCCUAAAUGAUAAUCUUAUAUGGUAUAAAAUGUGUUUCGUGACUUGACCUUUUUGUGAUGUUCUUAUAUGAAACAACUUCUAUA